GUGGGGAAUAUUGGACAAUGGGGGCAACCCUGAUCCAGCCAUGCCGCGUGAAUGAUGAAGGCCUUCGGGUUGUAAAGUUCUUUUGGAGGGGACGAUGAUGACGGUACCCUCAGAAUAAGCUCCGGCUAACUUCGUGCCAGCAGCCGCGGUAAUACGAAGGGAGCUAGCGUUGUUCGGAAUUACUGGGCGUAAAGGGCGCGUAGGCGGUUUGGUUAGUCAGAUGUGAAAGCCCAGGGCUUAACCCUGGAACUGCGUUUGAUACUGCCAAGCUUGAAUUCGGGAGAGGUGAGUGGAAUUCCCAGUGUAGAGGUGAAAUUCGUAGAUAUUGGGAAGAACACCGGUGGCGAAGGCGGCUCACUGGACCGACAUUGACGCUGAGGCGCGAAAGCGUGGGGAGCAAACAGGAUUAGAUACCCUGGUAGUCC
rnacentral:rRNA from 1 species